rnacentral:rRNA from 1 species
GACGUAGGAUGCAAGCGUUGUCCGGAUUUAUUGGGCGUAAAGAGAGCGUAGGCGGUUACUUAAGUCUGAAGUUAAAGACUGGGGCUCAACCCCAGGAGUGCUUCGGAAACUGGGUGACUUGAGGACGGAAGAGGGCAGUGGAAUUCCCAGUGUAGCGGUGAAAUGCGUAGAUAUUGGGAGGAACACCAGUGGCGAAAGCGACUGCCUGGUCCGUUUCUGACGCUGAGGCUCGAAAGCCAGGGGAGCAAACGGG